rnacentral:rRNA from 1 species
CGUCUCCUACGGGAGGCAGCAGUAGGGAAUCUUCGGCAAUGGGGGCAACCCUGACCGAGCAACGCCGCGUGAGUGAAGAAGGUUUUCGGAUCGUAAAGCUCUGUUGUAAGAGAAGAACGUGUGUGAGAGUGGAAAGUUCACACAGUGACGGUAACUUACCAGAAAGGGACGGCUAACUACGUGCCAGCAGCCGCGGUAAUACGUAGGUCACGAGCGUUAUCCGGAUUUAUUGGGCGUAAAGCGAGCGCAGGCGGUUGGGUAAGUCUUAAGUUAAAGGCUGUGGCUUAACCAUCGUAUGCUUUGGA